GACGAACGCUGGCGGCGUGCUUAACACAUGCAAGUCGAACGGAAAGGCCCUGCUUUUGUGGGGUGCUCGAGUGGCGAACGGGUGAGUAACACGUGAGUAACCUGCCCUUGACUUUGGGAUAACUUCAGGAAACUGGGGCUACUACCGGAUAGGAGCUCCUGCUGCAUGGUGGGGGUUGGAAAGUUUCGGCGGUUGGGGAUGGACUCGCGGCUUAUCAGCUUGUUGGUGGGGUAGUGGCUUACCAAGGCUUUGACGGGUAGCCGGCCUGAGAGGGUGACCGGCCACAUGGGGACUGAGAUACGGCCCAGACUCCUACGGGAGGCAGCAGUGGGGAAUAUUGCACAAUGGGCGGAAGCCUGAUGCAGCAACGCCGCGUGCGGGAUGACGGCCUUUGGGGUGUAAACCGCUUUCGCCUGUGACGAAGCGUGAGUGACGGUAAUGGGUAAAGAAGCACCGGCUAACUACGUG
rnacentral:rRNA from 1 species